GAAGCAGCGAACCAAUGUGUUUUCUACAAGGCACAAAUCCAAUUUUUUCUUGAAAACAUUAAAGCACAUUGGAAAACCAUUCCCCUUAUUUCUUUAACUGGAAAAAGCUGCAUUUGAGAAACUCACUUUACUCAGACAGAAGUAAUGUGACAUAAAGAUCUGAUCUGGGGAGGACAGAAGAACUCAUAUCGUGAGGUGGACUCCACAUUGCCAUUGGCGUUCCCAAGUCCAUUACAUCUGGUUUCUUGUAAUGAAAAAGGCGAACUCUCGGCACCAUGAUUGAUUUGUCUGCCAUUCUAACCUCACAGACUCUGGCGCAUAAUAAAGAGAUUGAGAAUUGGACAAGCCCGGCUUCUGUGCUAUCAAAUCUACAAUGGGAUGCCUGGAAAAAUUGAGCUGUAUCUAUAGAAGGGAAAAUGAACAGGCCACAGCACAACUAAUCUGCUCAAUUCUACUGUUGCAAAGAUUGAUGGAGACCAUUGUGUGAUCAAUUUGGUCAUGACACUGGGUAUCAGUCAUGAGCAUGACUGAAAUGAAUGGAAUCACUUUA